GAUGAACGCUAGCGGCAGGCUUAAUACAUGCAAGUCGAGGGGUAGCAAGAUUGUAGCAAUACAAUUGUUGACGACCGGCAAACGGGUGCGGAACACGUACACAACCUUCCUACAAGUGGGGAAUAGCCCAGAGAAAUUUGGAUUAAUACCCCGUAACAUAGCGAUGUGGCAUCACAUUGCUAUUAUAGCUUCGGCGCUUGUUGACGGGUGUGCGGCUGAUUAGAUAGUUGGCGGGGUAACAGCCAACCAAGUCUACGAUCAGUAGCUGAUGUGAGAGCAUGAUCAGCCACACGGGCACUGAGACACGGGCCCGACUCCUACGGGAGGCAGCAGUAAGGAAUAUUGGACAAUGGACGCAAGUCUGAUCCAGCCGUGCCGCGUGAAGGAUUAAGGUCCUCUGGAUUGUAAACUUCUUUUAUAAGGGACGAAAAAAGGUCUUUCUAGAUCGUCUGACGGUACCUUAUGAAUAAGCACCGGCUAACUCCGUGCCAGCAGCCGCGGUAAGAC
rnacentral:rRNA from 1 species